rnacentral:rRNA from 1 species
AGAGUUUGAUCAUGGCUCAGAUUGAACGCUGGCGGCAUGCCUUACACAUGCAAGUCGAACGGUAACAGGUUAAGCUGACGAGUGGCGAACGGGUGAGUAAUAUAUCGGAACGUGCCCAGUCGUGGGGGAUAACUGCUCGAAAGAGCAGCUAAUACCGCAUACGACCUGAGGGUGAAAGCGGGGGAUCGCAAGACCUCGCGCGAUUGGAGCGGCCGAUAUCAGAUUAGCUAGUUGGUGGGGUAAAAGCCCACCAAGGCGACGAUCUGUAGCUGGUCUGAGAGGACGACCAGCCACACUGGGACUGAGACACGGCCCAGACUCCUACGGGAGGCAGCAGUGGGGAAUUUUGGACAAUGGACGCAAGUCUGAUCCAGCCAUGCCGCGUGCGGGAAGAAGGCCUUCGGGUUGUAAACCGCUUUUGUCAGGGAAGAAAAGGCUCCUUCUAAUACAGGGGGCUCAUGACGGUACCUGAAGAAUAAGCACCGGCUAACUACGUGCCAGCAGCCGCGGUAAUACGUAGGGUGCAAGCGUUAAUCGGAAUUACUGGGCGUAAAGCGUGCGCAGGCGGUUAUGCAAGACAGAUGUGAAAUCCCCGGGCUCAACCUGGGAACUGCAUUUGUGACUGCAUGGCUAGAGUACGGUAGAGGGGGAUGGAAUUCCGCGUGUAGCAGUGAAAUGCGUAGAUAUGCGGAGGAACACCGAUGGCGAAGGCAAUCCCCUGGACCUGUACUGACGCUCAUGCACGAAAGCGUGGGGAGCAAACAGGAUUAGAUACCCUAGUAGUCC